rnacentral:rRNA from 1 species
GAUGAACGCUGGCGGCGUGCCUAAUACAUGCAAGUCGAGCGAACGGACGAGAAGCUUGCUUCUCUGAUGUUAGCGGCGGACGGGUGAGUAACACGUGGAUAACCUACCUAUAAGACUGGGAUAACUUCGGGAAACCGGAGCUAAUACCGGAUAAUAUUUUGAACCGCAUGGUUCAAAAGUGAAAGACGGUCUUGCUGUCACUUAUAGAUGGAUCCGCGCUGCAUUAGCUAGUUGGUAAGGUAACGGCUUACCAAGGCAACGAUGCAUAGCCGACCUGAGAGGGUGAACGGCCACCCUGGAACUGAGACACGGUCCAAACUCCUACGGGAGGCAGCAGUAGGGAAUCUUCCGCAAUGGGCGAAAGCCUGACGGAGCAACGCCGCGUGAGUGAUGAAGGUCUUCGGAUCGUAAAACUCUGUUAUUAGGGAAGAACAUAUGUGUAAGUAACUGUGCACAUCUUGACGGUACCUAAUCAGAAAGCCACGGCUAACUACGUG